rnacentral:lncRNA from 1 species
UCCUCCACGCAUCUAUGGAUAAAGAUCAAUCCCCUGCAUCUAAUAGAUUCAUCUUCAUCUCAAAUGAUCUCAUCUCUUCUCAGCCUUCCGGAUUUUCUUCUCAGCCGAAUGCAGCCAUCCCGCUCCACGUCCUCCUCCACGUUAAUUCUCCCACGUCUAGCUUUGCGCGUCCAUAGAUAAAGAUCAAAGCCCCAGCUCAUCUCCUCCGUGUCCGUCCCAGCUCACCAUGUUCGUGAUCCUUCCGCAUCCAAAGCAUCUCCCAAGUAUUCUUCGUCUUCAUCCUCCCAGCAUCCUUAUCUUCUCUCGCGUCCGUUUUCUUCCUCAACUUCCCUUCAUCCCGUUCGCGUUCGAAUAUGCAGGGAUUCAACCAUCCACAUGUGAAAUUCUCU